UACGUAGGGGGCAAGCGUUGUCCGGAUUUAUUGGGCGUAAAGCGCUCGCAGGUGGUUCAUUGCGUCGUGCGUGAAAGACCCAGGCUCAACUGGGGAGGGUCGUGCGAAACGGGUGAACUAGAGGCCAGUAGGGGGAUGUGGAAUUCCGGGUGUAGUGGUGGAAUGCGUAGAGAUCCGGAGGAACACCAGCGGCGAAGGCGGCAUCCUGGACUGGUCCUGACACUCAGGAGCGAAAGCGUGGGGAGCGAUCCGG
rnacentral:rRNA from 1 species